AGAGUUUGAUCCUGGCUCAGGAUGAACGCUAGCGGCAGGCCUAAUACAUGCAAGUCGAACGGUGAUAGCAAUAUCAUAGUGGCGCACGGGUGCGUAACACGUAUGCAACCUACCUUAUACCGAGGGAUAGCCUUUCGAAAGGGAGAUUAAUACCUCAUAACACAUUGAACUGGCAUCAGUUUAUUGUUAAAGAUUUAUUGGUAUAAGAUGGGCAUGCGUCCAAUUAGUUAGUUGGCGAGGUAACGGCUCACCAAGACGAUGAUUGGUAGGGGAACUGAGAGGUUAAUCCCCCACACUGGCACUGAGAUACGGGCCAGACUCCUACGGGAGGCAGCAGUAGGGAAUAUUGGGCAAUGGAGGCAACUCUGACCCAGCCAUGCCGCGUGCAGGAAGAAGGCGUUAUGCGUUGUAAACUGCUUUUAUAUAGGAAGAAAUAGACCUUGCGAGGUAAGUUGACGGUACUAUAUGAAUAAGCACCGGCUAACUCCGUGCCAGCAGCCGCGGUAAUACGGAGGGUGCAAGCGUUGUCCGGAUUUAUUGGGUUUAAAGGGUGCGUAGGCGGUUUAUUAAGUCAGUGGUGAAAGACGGUCGCUCAACGAUUGCAGUGCCAUUGAUACUGGUAGACUUGA
rnacentral:rRNA from 1 species